CUCCCCCCCCCCGCCAUGAUACUUUUCUCCAAGAUUUCUUGGCUUGAGGAACAUAGCAGACACUUUGCUUGACAUGUAAAUGCCCAAGAGACCUUUGCAGUGUGGUGCGGAGUGACCAAAUAAUUCCAGCUCCAGUCUGCAGUAUAUAGUUCAAACGACUUUCAGAGGUGAUUCAUUGAGUCUUGAUGCCUAAAGCAAUAAGGAGACCCCAAAGUGUCCAUCUACUGGCAUGCCUAAAGUUGACAUCUGAGGCUGUCCCUAGGCCUGUUGUUCUAUCCCUUGCCAGAGAAUNUCUGAAGCACUAAAAAUGGUGUUCAAAGCCCUAAAAAGAUUAUUUGAAGUGUUGCAGAUAUGUGCACUUUUUAUUGUUGUUCGGGAGUACAGCAUGUGGCUGGAGUUCACAAAUUAAGUGAAGGGGACCUCAAAUGAUCACCAACAGAGCAGCAGCUGAUGGAGACAAACAAGAGCCAUGCCGGAUAUACUGUCACCAUCAGAGACAUGCUGAGGCAUGCCACAGAUUUUUUUUUCUGUCNGGGCAUGUACACAAUUACAGAAUUUAUUUUUGCUUUACGCAUUGAACCUGCAUCCUAAGUCCUGCCUGGUUAAUGACAGAUUACAUCAGCAGACCUUAGUGCCAAUAUCUGAGUCACUGGAAAUUACCUCAACAGGUNCUAGCUGGGAAAAUGAUAUCCACUGAUGACUCAAAUUAGUCAACUGUGCUCUGAGAUGUCUGAAUGUCCACUAGAACGUUACUGACUGAAGGUNAGUAUAAGCAGCUGUCAGCUACUGUAUCACUACACAAAUGAGCUAAGUGCUUCUGAGUGAAAACAUUUAAAACUCAUAUAUGUGUUCACAGUUGCUUUGACUCUUCCAAUAGUCAAAUCUUCUGAAGAUGGAUAUCGUAGCUAUAUCUGAAAGCUUCGGUUCUCAGAAGGGUUAUGGAAGACGGCACAACAGCCCCNAAACGGCUACAAAUGAGANUGAAACUGGCAGUAAAAGCCUACACUGUACCAUUCACAUAUGUGCUCCAGGUCUCUCAUUUUAUCACCUAACUUUGAAAAAGAAGUUGCUGUUUUUGUUUUAUUCAAAUCUGAUAUGAGACCCAUAUAUAAAUUUACUAUCUCUUAACUAAAGGAAAAUGUGUGUGUGUGUGUGUGGGGGAGAGAGAGAGAGAGAGAGAGAGAGAAUAUUUGUGAAUGAGAUGGUGAAGAAGAGUCUGUCACUUCUUGUUAUAGGCAUGUUUUGCAUGGACACAGGAUAUACAUAGUGGGGACGACUCCUGGGCCAGAGGAAGCAUGGUGGAGGGCCAUCAGAU
rnacentral:lncRNA from 1 species